rnacentral:rRNA from 1 species
GACGAACGCUGGCGGCGUGCUUAAUACAUGCAAGUAGGACGCAGUUGCGAACGGGUGAGUAACGCGUAGGUAACUGCCCAUUAGAGGGGGAUAAUUAUCGGAAACGAUAGCUACUACCGCAUACUAGUAGAUGGACUUGCGUUGUAUUAGCUAGUAGGUUGGGUAAUGGCCUACCUAGGCAACGAUAAAUAGCCGACCUGAGAGGGGUAUCGGCCACACGGGGACUGAGACACGUCCCAGACGCCUACGGGAGGCAGCAGUAGGGAAUCUUCGGCAAUGGGGGAAACCCUGACCGAGCAACGCCGCGGGAGUGAAGAGGGUUUUCGGAUCGUAAAGCUCUGUUGUUAAGGAAGCGGUACUUAACCAGAAAGGGACGGCUAACUACGUGCCAGCAGCCGCGGUAAUUC